UGGCAAGCUGGAGACCCAAGAAGAGCCAAUAUUUCAGUUUGAGUCUGAAGGCAGGAAAAGACUAAUGUCCCAUCUCAAAGCAGUCAGGCAGAGGGAGUUCCAUCUUGUUCUCACUCAAGGAAGGAUGGCGCAGUGCUCCCGCUGUUCCGAGGCUCAGCUACCCUGACGGAGGCAGGGAAUUUUGAUCAGCUUCUGAAGAAUCACCUCAUCUCUCCCUGCAGAGAGCCCAGAGCACAAGACUUCACGUUAUGUCAACAUCUCUUGCAAAAGCCCAGCUCCUAGAGAGCAGGAGCCUUCCCAGACUGUGUCAAAUUACCUCGGGGAUGGAGAGACUUACAUGGCACUAACAGAAAUCAAAUGGCAGAGCUCAGGCUUCCGGUAAGAGCAGGUCCUGGCUCCUUCCUUACAUGAGGACCUGUCCAACACUGCUUGCUAUCUCCUCCUGUGCCAUCUGAAAUCUGUGCCUCAAGCCGACCAGCAGCCUUCUAAAUCUCUUUAUUCUAAAUUUGGCGCAAACUUCUUUCAUCUGUGACUUUUGGAAUCUUCUGCUGCAUCACCCCAUGAUCCAACUUGGAGUUGGGAGCUGUUUCACUGACUUACCAGCUCUCAUCAUAAAGAACCUUUUUUAGCCCCCAAAGAGUCUGAACAACAGACCUCCUCCACAUGGAAAUGGUGAAUUGAUCACACUGAAAACUAUUUUGAAGUCAAGCAAGGCCAGCUUAUGUCACUCUCCUGCAGCAGAGAAUGACUUUCACUUGCUCACUUUCACACUUGCAACCUUCCAUUUUCCACAAACUGUCAC